AAAUCAGCUAAGAUAACAGAGCAACACUGAAACGAACAGAAUGGGGAAACAACGGUGUGAUUCCGUGGCUGUGCCGCAACUGUGAGGAAAAAUGAAUCAUGAAGGAUGAGUUGUGAAUGUAGAGCUGAUUCGAUUCAUCCACAUAUUUAAAUCGUUUCUGAGCCAGAACGCCUAUCUGUUCAUUAUCUUCUCU
rnacentral:ncRNA from 1 species